AUUGAACGCUGGCGGCAGGCCUAACACAUGCAAGUCGAACGAGUGGCGGACGGGUGAGUAAUGUCUGGGAAACUGCCUGAUGGAGGGGGAUAACUACUGGAAACGGUAGCUAAUACCGCAUACCCUCGUAUUUUCCCAGAUGGGAUUAGCUAGUAGGUGGGGUAAAGGCUCACCUAGGCGACGAUCCCUAGCUGGUCUGAGCGGAUGACCAGCCACACUGGAACUGAGACACGGUCAAGACGCCUACGAGAGGCAGCAGUGGGGAAUAUUGCACAAUGGGCGCAAGCCUGAUGCAGCCAUGCCGCGUGUAUGAAGAAGGCCUGCGGGUUGUAAAGUACUUUAAGCGGGGAGGCGUUACCCGCAGAAGAAGCAACGGCUAACUCCGUGCCAGCAGCCGCGGUAAUAC
rnacentral:rRNA from 1 species